rnacentral:rRNA from 1 species
CCUACGGGUGGCAGCAGUGAGGAAUAUUGGUCAAUGGGCGCGAGCCUGAACCAGCCAAGUCGCGUGAGGGAAGACGGUCCUAUGGAUUGUAAACCUCUUUUGUCGGGGAGCAAAAGACGCCACGCGUGGCGUUCCGAGAGUACCCGAAGAAAAAGCAUCGGCUAACUCCGGGCCAGCAGCCGCGGUAAUACGGAGGAUGCGAGCGGUAUCCGGAUUUAUUGGGUUUAAAGGGUGCGCAGGCGGAAGAUCAAGGCAGCGGUAAAAUUGAGAGGCUCAACCUCUUCGAGCUGUUGAAACUGGUGUUCUUGAGUGAGCGAGAAGUAUGCGGAAUGCGUGGUGUAGCGGUGAAAUGCAUAGAGAUCACGCAGAACUCCGAUUGCGAAGGCAGCAUACCGGCGCUCAACUGACGCUCAUGCACGAAAGUGUGGGUAUCGAACAGGAUUAGAUACCCGUGUAGUC